rnacentral:rRNA from 1 species
AAUGAACGUUGGCGGCGUGGAUUAGGCAUGCAAGUCGAGCGAUGAAGCGGUGCUUGCACCGUGGAUUAGCGGCGAAAGGGAGAGUAACGCGUAGGUAUGUACCCCCUGGUCUGGGAUAGCGGCGGGAAACUGCCGGUAAUACCGGAUAAUGUCCCCGGACCAAAGGUGUGAUUCCGCCAGGGGAGCGGCCUGCGUCCUAUUAGGUUGUUGGUGGGUAACGGCCUACCAAGCCAAAGAUGGGUACCGGGUGUGAGAGCAUGGCCCGGCUCACUGGGACUGAGACACUGCCCAGACACCUACGGGUGGCUGCAGUCGAGAAUCUUCCGCAAUGGACGAAAGUCUGACGGAGCGACGCCGCGUGCUGGAUGAAGGCCUUCGGGUUGUAAACCUCUUUCAGCUCCGACGAAGCGCGAGUGACGGUAGGAGCAGAAGAAGCACCGGCUAACUACGUG